rnacentral:tRNA from 14 species
GGACGUAUAGCUCAGUUGGUUAGAGCGCAUCGUUGACAUCGAUGAGGUCCGCCGUUCGAGUCGGCGUACGUCCA